GGCUCAGGACGAACGCUGGCGGCGUGCUUAACACAUGCAAGUCGAACGAUGAAGCCCUUCGGGGUGGAUUAGUGGCGAACGGGUGAGUAACACGUGGGCAAUCUGCCCUUCACUCUGGGACAAGCCCUGGAAACGGGGUCUAAUACCGGAUAACACUCUGUCCCGCAUGGGACGGGGUUAAAAGCUCCGGCGGUGAAGGAUGAGCCCGCGGCCUAUCAGCUUGUUGGUGGGGUAAUGGCCUACCAAGGCGACGACGGGUAGCCGGCCUGAGAGGGCGACCGGCCACACUGGGACUGAGACACGGCCCAGACUCCUACGGGAGGCAGCAGUGGGGAAUAUUGCACAAUGGGCGAAAGCCUGAUGCAGCGACGCCGCGUGAGGGAUGACGGCCUUCGGGUUGUAAACCUCUUUCAGCAGGGAAGAAGCGAAAGUGAC
rnacentral:rRNA from 1 species